rnacentral:rRNA from 1 species
ACGUAGGUGGCAAGCGUUGUCCGGAUUUAUUGGGCGUAAAGCGAGCGCAGGCGGAAAAAUAAGUCUAAUGUGAAAGCCCUCGGCUUAACCGAGGAAUUGCAUCGGAAACUGUUUUUCUUGAGUGCAGAAGAGGAGAGUGGAACUCCAUGUGUAGCGGUGGAAUGCGUAGAUAUAUGGAAGAACACCAGUGGCGAAGGCGGCUCUCUGGUCUGCAACUGACGCUGAGGCUCGAAAGCAUGGGUAGCGAACAG